rnacentral:rRNA from 1 species
GACGAACGCUGGCGGCGUGCCUAACACAUGCAAGUCGAGCGGGGACAGUAAGUAGCAAUACGAGCUGUUCUAGCGGCGGACGGGUGAGUAACGCGUGAGCAACCUGUCCUUAGCAGGGGGAUAACGAACCGAAAGGUUCACUAAUACCGCAUAAGACCACGAAGUCACAUGGCUUUGAGGUCAAAGGAGAAAUCCGGCUAGGGGUGGGCUCGCGUCUGAUUAGCUAGUUGGUGGGGUAAAGGCCUACCAAGGCGACGAUCAGUAGCCGACCUGAGAGGGUGAUCGGCCACAUUGGAACUGAGACACGGUCCAAACUCCUACGGGUGGCUG